GAUAAACGCUGGCGGCGUGCCUAAUCAAUGCGAGUCGCACGGGCACCUUCGGGUGUCAGUGGCGUCCGGGUGAGUAACGCGUAGCUAACCUGCCCAGCGGUGGGGAUACCCGCCAGAAAUGGCGGCUAAUACCGCAUAGCGUGACGAGGGGGUGGACCUUCGGCACGAAAGACAGUGAUGUGCCACUGGAGGGGCGUGCGUCCGAUUAGCUAGUCGGUGGGGUAAGUGGCCUACCGAGGCGACGAUCGGUAGCUGGUCUGAGAGGAUGGUCAGCCACACUGGGACUGAGACAUGGUCCAGAGCUCUACGGGGUUUAGCAUGAAGGGAUAUUGCGCAAUGGGCGAAAGCCUGACGCAGCAACG
rnacentral:rRNA from 1 species